rnacentral:rRNA from 1 species
AUUGAACGCUGGCGGCAGGCCUAACACAUGCAAGUCGAGCGGAUGAAGAGAGCUUGCUCUCUGAUUCAGCGGCGGACGGGUGAGUAAUGCCUAGGAAUCUGCCUGGUAGUGGGGGACAACGUUUCGAAAGGAACGCUAAUACCGCAUACGUCCUACGGGAGAAAGUGGGGGAUCUUCGGACCUCACGCUAUCAGAUGAGCCUAGGUACGAUUAGCUAGUUGGUGAGGUAAAGGCUCACCAAGGCGACGAUCGUUAACUGGUCUGAGAGGAUGAUCAGUCACACUGGAACUGAGACACGGUCCAGACUCCUACGGGAGGCAGCAGUGGGGAAUAUUGGACAAUGGGCGAAAGCCUGAUCCAGCCAUGCCGCGUGUGUGAAGAAGGUCUUCGGAUUGUAAAGCACUUUAAGUUGGGAGGAAGGGCAGUAAGUUAAUACCUUGCUGUUUUGACGUUACCGACAGAAUAAGCACCGGCUAACUUCGUGCCAGCAGCCGCAGUAACAC